GCGGCACUAGCUCAGUUGGUAGAGCGCAACCUUGCCAAGGUUGAGGUCACGAGUUCGAACCUCGUGUGUCGCUCCA
rnacentral:tRNA from 1 species